AACGAACGCUGGCGGCAUGCCUAACACAUGCAAGUCGAACGAGACCUUCGGGUCUAGUGGCGCACGGGUGCGUAACGCGUGGGAACCUGCCCUUAGGUUCGGAAUAACUCCCCGAAAGGGGUGCUAAUACCGGAUAAUGUCUUCGGACCAAAGAUUUAUCGCCUUUGGAUGGGCCCGCGUUGGAUUAGCUAGUUGGUAGGGUAAAAGCCUACCAAGGCGACGAUCCAUAGCUGGUCUGAGAGGAUGAUCAGCCACACUGGGACUGAGACAAGGCCCAGACUCCUACGGGAGGCAGCAGGGGGGAAUAUUGGACAAUGGGCGAAAGCCUGAUCCAGCAAUGCCGCGUGAGUGAUGAAGGCCUUAGGGUUGUAAAGCUCUUUUACCCGGGAUGAUAAUGACAGUACCGGGAGAAUAAGCUCCGGCUAACUCCGU
rnacentral:rRNA from 1 species